rnacentral:rRNA from 1 species
AUUGAACGCUGGCGGCGUGCCUAACACAUGCAAGUCGAGCGGUAACAGGUGUAGCAAUACAUGCUGACGAGCGGCGAACGGGUGAGUAAUGCUUUGGAAUCUUCCCAGUAGUGGGGAAUAACCAGUCGAAAGAUUGGCUAAUACCGCAUACGUCGGAAACGGGAAAGCGGGGGAUCGUAAGACCUCGCGCUAUUGGAUGAGCCAAAGUCGGAUUAGCUAGUUGGUGAGGUAAUGGCUCACCAAGGCGACAAUCCGUAGCUGGUCUGAGAGGACGACCAGCCACACCGGAACUGAGACACGGUCCGGACUCCUACGGGAGGCAGCAGUGGGGAAUAUUGGACAAUGGGGGAAACCCUGAUCCAGCGACGCCGCGUGUGUGAAGAAGGCCUGCGGGUUGUAAAGCACUUUUAGUGGGGACAAAAAGUCACGGGCUAACACUUCGUGAUCUUGAUUUAACUCACAGAAAAAGCACCGGCUAACUCUGUGCCAGCAGCCGCGGUAAUACAGAGGGUGCGAGCGUUAAUCGGAAUUACUGGGCGUAAAGCGCGCGUAGACGGUUUUGUAAGUCAGGUGUGAAAUCCCCGGGCUCAACCUGGGAACUGCAUCUGAUACUGCAU